GAAACUGCCACUCGUGAUGGGUAGGGCCAGCCCAGGGGUCAGGCUGAGCCAGACGGGACUGGGCGAGUCUCGGUGUUAAGCAUCUGGCAGGAUUUAGAACGCAUUCUGCUCCACAAACCUGCAGUCAGACAGGAUUGGUCCAUCCAUGACGGCUCUGUUCCUCAUGCAGCAUGCUGAAGAGCUUGGGUUUUGAUUCUGGCAGACUAGAAAGGGAGUCCAAGUUCAGACGGCUCUGUGGUGUCUCACAGGAGGACUGAGCUCUUUGCCUAGUUCCCCUUCCUGUGAAGGAGCAAAAUCAACCUCUCCCCCAAGACACUGCUGGAACCCGGAGGUUCGUCCUGAAGGGCUGCCGUUAGUUACGAACAGGAGUGUGCCUGGAGACAAGCUCAGAGCCUCCUAGGGCACCCGGCUGGUGAGGUCCUGUCUUGAGGAAGCUACACACAGUCUACCCCUUGCUCCCUGGGUUUCUGAGCAGGACUGUGGAGGGAGCCUUCUGGGAAAGUUCUUAAUAACUCGAACCAUCAACUGGGACAUGAACUGUACAGGAAAACCUGUCUCAACUGCCUGCCCGUCCUGUGCUGGGGCCUUAGAGCUGAGUGUCCACAGCGGUACAAAUAUUCUCUUCAUGUGAAAUGCCACUCGUCUGCUGGCUGUCUUAUUAGAUCGUCAGUGAUGUAUGACUGUCACUUCAACCUAACACGACGUGGUGUAAACCCAGCAGCAUUGGGACAAAGCUUGCGGUGGAGAAGUGACAAGGUAACACGUUGGCCACUUCCAAAGCCCAAGACAUGGACUGCUGUGACCAUCUCUAGAGCCACCAGUGGUCCUGCAAGCUCAACCCACCAGGCUGCAUAAUCCAUCCUUAUCUGCACCAGAGGACGCCCUCCAACAGAGGGCUUGCUCAGACACUGAAGAGUUCGAAGAGCAGCUGCUGAGGUUUGAAGACUCAUGUCAAGAUAAACAAGGCUUUGUAACAGUACCCACCACACCAGGGCUCUGCAGAGCACCUCCUUCACCAAGCGUGUGACCAAGAAUGUAUCUCCAAGACUCUUGAAGUCAGUGGGCCAUGUGGACGGCUCUGGCCAAUGGAUGUGCAUAGACACACCACGUGCCAGUCCUGUGCCGAGGCCGGGGAGGCCUGGGUCACCAGCAUUUCUCCUGCUAUGAAGAAACACAGUCCACCUGGGUCUCUCCCCGAGUGUGGACAGACAGUCCUCGACUCCAAAGUGCUCCUAAAUAGUGCCAGACACCUGGUUGAGAAAAACUCCACCGUCCCUUGUCUGACAAAGUCCUCCGUACUUCAAGGUCCAGUUCUGAUCCCACCACGUCCAGGAGACUCCCUGUCCUGGAGACUGAACAUCCUCUCCACCGUGACAGUCCCGUGUUGUAAACGUCACCAUGCCGGUUUAGAUCCCCAAAACAUGGCCCAGCCUCCUUGGCCCCCGCGUUCCACAAUCCCCUGUCACACCUGAGCGGCGCUGACCGGAAGGUGAGGAAGCGGACAGGUGUGGGCCUCCCCUCGGCAGCCCCUGUGUGGUUCUGGGUUCUGCUUCCCUGCUCCUCCAGGGAUCCUGAACUGGCUGGUCUCCCUUUACAAUCCACUUUCUAUUUAAACUAGUGCAAAUAACCCGACCCAGGCGUUCCCCGACACUUGCCAAGGACCUUCCAAUCCCAUGUGACCCGAUGCCAUCCACUUUAGGACUUGACACAUUACUGAUUUUGUUUCAUGUGUA